GACGAACCGUGCAAACGUUAUUCGGAAUCACUGGGCUUAAAGGGCGCGUAGGCGGGCGAUCAAGUCCGGGGUGAAAUCCUCCAGCUUAACUGGAGAAGUGCCUCGGAUACUGGUCGCCUCGAGGAGGGUAGGGGCAUCUGGAACUAGCGGUGGAGCGGUGAAAUGUUUUAAUAUCGCUAGGAACGCCGAUGGCGAAGGCAAGGUGCUGGACCCUUUCUGACGCUGAGGCGCGAAAGCCAGGGGAGCGAACGGG
rnacentral:rRNA from 1 species